GAUGAACGCUAGCGGGAGGCCUAACACAUGCAAGCCGAGCGGUAGAGUCUCUUCGGAAACUUGAGAGCGGCGCACGGGUUCGUAACACGUGUUCAACCUACCUUUAUCUGGGGGAUAGCCUUUCUAAAGGCAGAUUAAUACCCCAUAAUAUAAUGAUUUGCAUCAAUUAUUAUUGAAAACUCCGGUGGAUAGAUAUGGGCAUACGCGAGAUUGGAUAGUUGGUGAGGUAACGGCUCACCAAGGCAAUGAUCUUUAGGGGUCCUGAGAGGGAGAUCCCCCACACGGGUACAGGGACACGGACCAGACUACUACGGGACGCAGCAGUGAGGAAUAGUGAACAAUGGGUGAGAGCCUGAUCCAGCCAGCCCGCGUGAAGGACGACGGUCCUAUGGAUGGUAAGAUUCUUUUGUACAGGGAUAAACCUACCCUCGUGAGGGUAGCUGAAGGUACUGGAAGAAUAAGCACCGGCUAACUCCGUG
rnacentral:rRNA from 1 species